rnacentral:rRNA from 1 species
AAUUGGAGGGCAAGUCUGGUGCCAGCAGCCGCGGUAAUUCCAGCUCCAAUAGCGUAUAUUAAAGUUGUUGCAGUUAAAAAGCUCGUAGUUGAAUUUCGGGGUCAGUAGAUUGGUCGUGCCACUGGUAUGUACUGGUCUUACUGGCUCCUCCUUCCUGAUGAACCGUAAUGCCAUUAAUUUGGUGUUGCGGGGAGACUGGACUGUUACCUUGAAAAAAUUAGAGUGUUUAAAGCAGGCUAACGCUUGAAUACAUUAGCAUGGAAUAAUGAAAUAGGACGUUCGAUCUUAUUUUGUUGGUUUCUAGGAUUGACGUAAUGAUUAAUAGGGAUAGUUGGGGGCAUUAGUAUUCAAUUGUCAGAGGUGAAAUUCUUGGAUUUAUUGAAGACUAACUACUGCGAAAGCAUUUGCCAAGGAUGUUUUCAUUAAUCAAGAACGAAAGUUAGGGGAUCGAAGACGAUCAGAUACCGUCGUAGUCUUAACCAUAAACUAUGCCGACUAGGGAUCGGAUGAUGUUAAUUUUUUAAUGACUCAUUCGGCGCCUUACGGGAAACCAAAGUGU